GCAUUAUUAAUAUACUUAAUCUAUUGCAGUUAAGUAUAAUUUUUUUGAAAAAUUAAUUUUAUUUUUAAUAUUGUUUAGAUACAGAUGGAUAUAGAAUGGUGGUAUCUAAAUCUCCGAAUAGUGGCAUCUAGUACAUCUGCAUUUUGUUUUGGAAAUUUUGCAUCUGGAAGUAAUGUUUGGAGGGCGUCAUUCCUCCCUACCUUUGAAAAAAUGGAGAUCUUGUGCAUUUUGUAAUAUGGUAAAAUUUGCAAAUCAUAAUUUAUCCUUUAGGAUAUUUACAUUUUUGGAGGCAGGAAGGAAAAAACAACUUAUGGCAUAUGAAUAUUAACAAUUAGUAUUUAAAAAAAUACUUUUUUAUGAAU